CGCAUCUGUGCAUGCAGCAUAUCAAUAAGCGGAGGAAAAGAAACUAACAAGGAUUCCCUUAGUAACGGCGAGUGAAGCGGGAAGAGCUCAAAUUUGAAAUCUUCAAGGUUUUACCUUGACGAAUUGUAGUUUAAAGAAGUGUUUUCUGUUGAAGUUUUGGUAAAAGUUCUUUGGAAUAGGACAUCAUAGAGGGUGAGGAUCCCGUAUUUGACCAUUAUUUUCAGCUGUGUGAUACACUUUCAAAGAGUCGGAUUGUUUGGGAAUGCAGUCCAAAAUGGGUGGUAAAUUUCAUCUAAAGCUAAAUAUUGGCGAGAGACCGAUAGCGAACAAGUACCGUGAAGGAAAGAUGAAGAGAACUUUGAAAAGAGAGUUAAACAGUACGUGAAAUUGUCAAAAGGGAAGCGUUUGACACCAGUGUUGUUUUCUCGAAAAUCAAUUAAAAAGAGUUUGAUUUUGUUGUGUAUUGACCUUAACAGCUUGCAUUUCAAUUUUCUUGCUUUUUUUAAUGCACUUUUCGUUUAACAAGUCAACAUCAGUUUCUUUUGUUGUAAAAGGUCAUUGGAAGGUGGCUUUCUUUUCGGAGAAAGUGUUUAUAGCCUUUGAUCUCUGCAAUCCGGAGAGACUGAGGUCUGCAGCGUAGACUCUUCGGGGUUAGAUACAUUUGUGCUAAGCUAUAGCUUUUUAUAGACAACUUGUUGACUAUGAUUUAGUCUUGUAGCUUACUCGCUUAUGCUAUUUUACCUACGCUUAGGAUGUUGAUGUGAUACUGCGAGC
rnacentral:rRNA from 1 species